GCACCCGUAGCUCAGCUGGAUAGAGCGCUGCCCUCCGAAGGCGGGGGGCCCGGCUCUCCGAUGAGCGUGCU
rnacentral:tRNA from 1 species